rnacentral:misc_RNA from 1 species
UUUCCGUAGGUGAACCUGCGGAAGGAUCAUUAACGAACUGUCGACACGAGUUGUUGCUGUCCCCAAACCGGGGGCAUGUGCACGCUCUGUUUACACAUCCACUCACACCUGUGCACCCUCCGUAGCUCUGUGGCCUGGGGGUCUCCACCCCCUUGCCGUGGUUCUACGUCUUUACACACACACUGUAAUAAAGUCUUACGGGAUGUAUGUCGCGUUUAACGCAAUACAAUACAACUUUCAGCAACGGAUCUCUUGGCUCUC